AUAUCCUUCCUCAAAAUUCUUUAUUGUGUCACAAUUAUCCAUUCUAUCCCACAAUUAUUGCUUCUCUUACACUCUGCCUUCUCUCAUAGAGAUCCUCAUAACCAUUUCCGGUUAUCUCCCACAGUUCUCACUUUUUAAUAUAAUUGAUUAGAAGAAUCAUACCUUUCUUGUUCCUGAGAUUCUAAGGUUUUCCAAGAUCGGAGGCAGUAGGAGGUCUCUCUCUCUCAGGAUCACGGCCAGAGAACAGAGAAUUGGUAUGCCUUGGGUAUAAAGACAAUAUCACUAGUUCCACAGCGGGUCAGAGAACAUAUAACAUACCAGGUAUUUUAGAUACUGCUGGGAAUACAAAAGUGCUGAACGAAGGCUUUGUUCUUUGGGAAUCUGUAUUCAAAUAAUUUAAAGAUCAACUAACAGUACACUUCAUCUAAAGAGAUACUCUAAAUCAUGUUUGAUUUUAAACAUUAUUUGAUAGAGAUUGAUGGGGGGGAGACUGAUAGUGAAAACUUGAUUGAAGAAGAAAUUUCUGUUUGGAGCUAUUUCAAAUACAUUCAGGUUUCACUACAGAUUUGUACAGAAAAGGUCUUGUAACAAAGAAAUAUUUGGUUUUAUGUGUCUGUUAGCCAUGACCAUGGUGCUUUGAAAAGUUCCCCCAGCUUUGUUAGAUGAUGGGGGUUUCCUAAGCAAUUAGCAUUCCAGAAUCGAAAUAACUUUCUACAACUUGUUUUCUUAGAUUCCUGACCAUCGUGAAAGACCCUUGAUAAGAAAUAUUUAUUGCCCUGUGUGGUAAGAGCAAGCAUUUGAUCCCAGCCUACAGGAGGCAGAGGUAUGUGAGUUUCUGUGAGCUCAAGGCCAGCCUGGUCUAGUUUUUAUAGUGAGUACCAAGCAAGCUAGGCUACAUAGUGAGAACAUCAUCUCAGAAAAAAAAAAGGUGUUUAUGAAUCACCUAGCACGCUUUAACUGACUAAUCACUGGUUAUUCCUAGCAGUGCCAACUGUGGACCACAAAGACACUUCAGCCCCAUUCUUCCCCUUUGUUCUGCGUGUAACAGUUCGGUGGGGAGAAGAAGCCGGAGAAGGAGCUAGUGACAUUCAUUUUUAGCAGGGACUGAAGAACACCUCUGUCUUCGUUAGGAUUUUGCUGCUGUGAACAGAGACCAUGACCAAGGUAACUUUAUAAUGACAACGUUUAAUUGGGGCUGGCUUACAGGUGCAGAGUUUCAGUCCUUAUCAUCAAGGCAGGAACAUGGCAG
rnacentral:lncRNA from 1 species